UACGAAGGGGGCUAGCGUUGUUCGGAUUUACUGGGCGUAAAGCGCACGUAGGCGGUUUGUUAAGUGAGAGGUGAAAUCCCAGAGCUCAACUCUGGAACUGCCUUUCAUACUGGCAAGCUAGAGUCCGGAAGAGGUAAGUGGAACUCCUAGUGUAGAGGUGGAAUUCGUAGAUAUUAGGAAGAACACCAGUGGCGAAGGCGGCUUACUGGUCCGGAACUGACGCUGAGGUGGCGAAAGCGUGGGGAGCAAACAGGAUUAGAACCGUACCGUCGAGAUCCAAGCCAU
rnacentral:rRNA from 1 species